rnacentral:misc_RNA from 1 species
GAUGAAGAACGCAGCAAAAUGCGAUAAGUAAUGUGAAUUGCAGAAUUCAGUGAAUCAUCGAAUCUUUGAACGCACAUUGCGCCCGCUGGUAUUCCGGCGGGCAUGCCUGUUCGAGCGUCAUUUCAACCAUCAAGCCCUAGGCUUGCGUUGGAGCCCUGCGGCUGCCGCAGGCCCCUAAAAGCAGUGGCGGGCUCGCUAUCACACCGAGUGCAGUAGAUUACUCUUCGCUCAGGGCGUGUGGCGGGUUCCAGCCGUGAAACCCCUACUUCUCAAGGUUGACCUCGGAUCAGGUAGGAAUACCCGCUGAACUUAAGCAUAUCAAUAAGCGGAGGA